GUGGGGAAUAUUGGACAAUGGGCGAAAGCCUGAUCCAGCCAUGCCGCGUGUGUGAAGAAGGUCUUCGGAUUGUAAAGCACUUUAAGUUGGGAGGAAGGGCAGUAAGUUAAUACCUUGCUGUUUUGAUGUUACCGACAGAAUAAGCACCGGCUAACUUCGUGCCAGCAGCCGCGGUAAUACGAAGGGUGCAAGCGUUAAUCGGAAUUACUGGGCGUAAAGCGCGCGUAGGUGGUUUUGUAAGUUGGAGGUGAAAUCCCCGGGCUCAACCUGGGAACUGCCUCCAAUACUGCAUGACUAGAGUACGGUAGAGGGUAGUGGAAUUUCCUGUGUAGCGGUGAAAUGCGUAGAUAUAAGAAGGAACACCAGUGGAGAAGGCGACUACCUGGACUGAUACUGACACUGAGGUGCGAAAGCGUGGGGAGCAAACAGGAUUAGAAACCCGUGUAGUCC
rnacentral:rRNA from 1 species